rnacentral:rRNA from 1 species
AGAAUCAACGCUGGCGGCGUGCCUAACACAUGCAAGUCGAACGAGAAAGUGGAGCAAUCCAUGAGUAAAGUGGCGCACGGGUGAGUAACACGUGACUAACCUACCCUUGAGUGGGGGAUAACCUAGGGAAACCUGGGCUAAUACCGCAUAAUACCUUCGGGUCAAAGGAGCAAUUCGCUUAAGGAGGGGGUCGCGGCCGAUUAGGUUAGUUGGCGGGGUAAUGGCCCACCAAGACUGUGAUCGGUAU